rnacentral:tRNA from 1 species
CGGGGCGUAGCGCAGCCUGGUAGCGCACUUGCAUGGGGUGCAAGGGGUCGAAGGUUCAAAUCCUUUCGUCCCGA